rnacentral:rRNA from 1 species
AUUGAACGCUGGCGGCAGGCCUAACACAUGCAAGUCGAGCGGUAGAGAGGUGCUUGCAUCUCUUGAGAGCGGCGGACGGGUGAGUAAUGCCUAGGAUCUGCCUAGUGGUGGGGGAUAACGUUCGGAAACGGACGCUAAUACCGCAUACGUCCUACGGGAGAAAGCGGGGGAUCUUCGGACCUCGCGCCAUUAGAUGAGCCUAGGUCGGAUUAGCUAGUUGGUGAGGUAAUGGCUCACCAAGGCGACGAUCCGUAACUGGUCUGAGAGGAUGAUCAGUCACACUGGAACUGAGACACGGUCCAGACUCCUACGGGAGGCAGCAGUGGGGAAUAUUGGACAAUGGGCGAAAGCCUGAUCCAGCCAUGCCGCGUGUGUGAAGAAGGUCUUCGGAUUGU